AUAAUUGAGCAGUUCCACUAAAAAAUGCCGUUUUGCCCUUGUACCAUAAACAAGUUAGAGUCUCGCUGAACUCAACGCAGCGUGGGAGUUGUUCGUCGUCGGCCAUUAACAUUGAGAGAGAGUUCGUCCAGCUUGAGAGAUUCCAAUCUGUAGUGUAGACAUCAAUGAUAAAUAUGAGUUACACAAUUUCUUUUCAAACUAAGAGUUUCAACUUUCACUCUUGGAAUGAUCUGCAUGAUCUUAACGAUCAAGGGAGUUGUGUUUCUGGCGUGACUUCUGAUUUUAGCUCAAGGAAAAAAAUGUCUAAAUUGCACCAAAUUUCUCUACGUGAUUGUUUUUCUAGUAAUAGAUGUUGCUCGUCUUGGAAAGGAUUGCGGUGUAGAAGUUUAUAUGCUACCGUUUUAAGUGAUAGAGAAGAUGAAGUUGACCAUGAGGUUUCCGGCUUUGAGAGUUAUACUGGCGAAAGGAGAAAAUCUAGUGAACGAGUGGAAUUAGUCGAGUUUCUCAACUCUUCAACUUUGUCAUUAGAUGAACCAUAUGUUAAAAAUGAUGAGACUGUCAACAAUAAGACUCUUCAGACGCUUUGCACUAAUGGAAAGAUAACGGCUGCAGCAACAUUGAUUGAUAUUAUGGCAGGUAUAAGUCAAAUACCUCGUUUUCCUUCUUGCACGAAUUUGAUACGAGGUUUUAUCCAUACUGGUCGGGUAGACAAAGCUUGCAGAAUCAUGAAUAUAAUGGUUAUGUCUGGUGGUGUUCCUGAUACGAUUACAUUCAACAUGGUUAUUGGAGGUCUUUGUAAAAAAGGUAAUUUAAAAUCUGCUCUUGAAUUGCUUGAAGAUUUGAGCUUGAGUGGAUGCUCCCCAGAUGCAAUUACUUAUAAUACAAUAAUUGGUUGCAUAUUUGAUAAAGGAGAUUCUAAUUUUGCUGUUAGUUUUUGGAAGGAUCAGUUGAGAAAAGGGUUCCCUCCAUAUUUGAUGACCUAUGAAUUUCUUUUUGAGCUGGUUUGUAGACAUUGUGGGACUUCUCAAGCCCUUGAAGUAUUAGAAGAUAUGGCAAGGGAAUGUUGCUAUCCCAAUAUCAAUAUGUACAAUUUUCUUGUAAAAUUAAGUUCUAAUCGGAGGAAUUAUAAAGAUACUGCUUUGGUUAUUUCCAAUCUUUUAUCCCGUGGGUUGAAACCGGAUGUUGCGACAUACAAUAACCUUAUGCGCUCUCUUAGUCGCCAUGGGCAUUCAGACGCAAUUGAUGAUAUUUUGAAGAUUAUGAAUGAGACUUCCAUUCCACCUUCACUUGCUACUUACAAUAUUCUGUUGACUAGUUCAUGCAGAUCUGGAUUUCUGGAUCGUUCUAUAAGCUUAUAUCUCAAAAUGGUUUCUGAGAACUGUUCGCCGGACAUUGUUACUUACAAUACUCUUCUAAAGGCUUUAUGUAAAGAAGGAUAUAUAGACGAGAGUGUUCAAUUACUUCGCUGUUUGUCCGGUACUAACUGUUCUCCUGGAUUGGCCACUUAUAAAAUAGUAAUUGAUGGGUUGGCUAGAAUGAGAUCUACAAAAUCAGCAAAAGAAAUGUAUGGGGAAAUGGUGGAAAAAGGAAUUGAACCAGAUGGUAUUACCCACCGUAUUUUGAUAAGGGCUCUGUGCCGGGUAUAUCGAUUUGAAGAUGCGGUGGAGCUAUUGAAAGUGAUGUAUAGAAAAAGACAAACGAUUGAAAAUGAUAUGUAUAGAUGUGUUAUCAUAGGAUUAUGUAAGCAAAAGAAGCUUGAUAUUGUGAUUCAAGCUCUAGAAUUGAUGGUGAAAUGUCCAUGCAAGCCAGAUGGAAGAUUGUAUUAUUUUUUAAUUAAGUCUCUUGCUUAUGAGGGUAUGGUAAAAGAGGCUAAUGCUUUGUAUCAGAAAUUGAUCGAAUGGAGAUUCUUAAAGAGGACUUGUUUGAUUUAGUUGGAGUUCACACAUAGAUGGGCCAAAUCCAAUACUUCUUCUAGCCAUGUACUAAUUAUAUCAGAAAUGUUGUCUUGUAACGAAAGUUACCUCUUGGCUCCUACCUUGUUCUGGUUUCUUCCAAGUGGAAAGGUCGAUUAGGUACUCAAUUAGGUAUUGUAAUUUCCAACCACAUCAGCUAAUAUAGAAUCGAGAUGGAGUAAAAUUUUGACAGUGAAGGUUGACAUACUUAGCUUCAUCACUACUCACACACUGGCUAUUUGUAGUGUCAAUUUAAUCUUCUUUAAUCUUCACAUUUGCAGAUUCUUAGAGGACUCCAAUAUUUUAAAUUGCCAUUUUUGUUGGUUUCGGUAGUUUAAGCUCAUCUAUAUUGACUUAUGCUGUUAUUAUGAUUUGUGGAGGUUGAAUAGAAGAAACACAAAUGGAGAUAUUGGUUUAAAAUUUGAACUAUGCUGCUUGUGAUUCAUCUAAUAUAGUAGAAGAUAGAUGCUAAUGCAACAUGUAUUCAUAAAUUCUAAAUAGAUCAUCAAAUAAAGGUUCUAGCAUGCAUAACCA